rnacentral:rRNA from 1 species
GGGUCAGUAGGUUGGUCGUGCCACCGGUACGUACUGGUCUCACUGAUUCCUCCUUCCUGAAGAACCGUAAUGCCAUUAAUUUGGUGUUGCGGGGAAACAGGACUGUUACUUUGAAAAAAUUAGAGUGUUUAAGGCAAGCUAACGCUUGAAUACAUUAGCAUGGAAUAAUGAAAUAGGACGAUCGAUCCUAUUUUUUUGGUUUCUAGGAUUGACGUA